rnacentral:rRNA from 1 species
CAUGCUGUGAGCUCGAUGAGUAGGGCGGGACACGUGGUAUCCUGUCUGAAUAUGGGGGGACCAUCCUCCAAGGCUAAAUACUCCUGACUGACCGAUAGUGAACCAGUACCGUGAGGGAAAGGCGAAAAGAACCCCGGCGAGGGGAGUGAAAAAGAACCUGAAACCGUGUACGUACAAGCAGUGGGAGCACGCUUAGGCGUGUGACUGCGUACCUUUUGUAUAAUGGGUCAGCGACUUAUAUUCUGUAGCAAGGUUAACCGAAUAGGGGAGCCGAAGGGAAACCGAGUCUUAACUGGGCGUUAAGUUGCAGGGUAUAGACCCGAAACCCGGUGAUCUAGCCAUGGGCAGGUUGAAGGUUGGGUAACACUAACUGGAGGACCGAACCGACUAAUGUUGAAAAAUUAGCGGAUGACUUGUGGCUGGGGGUGAAAGGCCAAUCAAACCGGGAGAUAGCUGGUUCUCCCCGAAAGCUAUUUAGGUAGCGCCUCGUGAAUUCAUCUCCGGGGGUAGAGCACUGUUUCGGCAAGGGGGUCAUCCCGACUUACCAACCCGAUGCAAACUGCGAAUACCGGAGAAUGUUAUCACGGGAGACACACGGCGGGUGCUAACGUCCGUCGUGAAGAGGGAAACAACCCAGACCGCCAGCUAAGGUCCCAAAGUCAUGGUUAAGUGGGAAACGAUGUGGGAAGGCCCAGACAGCCAGGAUGUUGGCUUAGAAGCAGCCAUCAUUUAAAGAAAGCGUAAUAGCUCACUGGUCGAGUCGGCCUGCGCGGAAGAUGUAACGGGGCUAAACCAUG